rnacentral:sRNA from 1 species
CUUGCCAUUGGAGGGGAGUACCCCAUAAUCAGCAUUGAUCGUCAACACGGUUGCUUAGUGUAAAGCUCCCGGUCGUGCUGGCCGCCGUCGGUUGGUGGGGGAGACCUCUGGUUAAUCC